AUGCAAGGAGGUAUGGAGCAAGACACUCCAACAACAACAUCACCUACUAAACCAACCACAAACCUUCCUCCUAUUGGUCGGAAUAAAAAAAGAGCUAAUGUAAAUGCUAUUAGAAAAAGGUAUGAGGUAUGGGACCGCUUUAACCCUAUUUCUAAUAUUGAUCCCGCCACUUCGGCAUAUAAGAAACUGUUUAUUACAGUUGAAAGAGAUGGAUUCAAGUACUUUUGUAACCAAAUACAACCUCAAUUUACUAUACCAUCAAAGAGAACUAUAGCUAGGGAUUGUUUUUAG